rnacentral:rRNA from 1 species
GAUGAACGCUGGCGGCGUGCUUAACACAUGCAAGUCGAACGGAAAGGCCAGUGCUUGCACUGGUACUCGAGUGGCGAACGGGUGAGUAACACGUGGGUGAUCUGCCCUGCACUUCGGGAUAAGCCUGGGGAACUGGGUCUAAUACCGGAUAGGACAAUGGUUUGGAUGCCGUUGUGGAAAGUUUUUUCGGUGUGGGAUGAGCUCGCGGCCUAUCAGCUUGUUGGUGGGGUAAUGGCCUACCAAGGCGUCGACGGGUAGCCGGCCUGAGAGGGUGUACGGCCACAUUGGGACUGAGAUACGGCCCAGACUCCUACGGGAGGCAGCAGUGGGGAAUAUUGCACAAUGGGCGCAAGCCUGAUGCAGCGACGCCGCGUGGGGGAUGACGGCCUUCGGGUUGUAAACUCCUUUCGCUAGGGACGAAGCGUAUUUGUGACGGUACCUGGAGAAGAAGCACCGGCUAACUACGUG